GUCGGUCAGGCAUGACUUGACAUCUCCGAGUGGGGGCAUUAAGGUGAUGUGGACACUGUUAUAGUGUUGCUGGCCUGGUUUGGGUGUGCUACUGCUGGCCCGCCUGUUCCAAGUUGUGUAGUGGGCUGCUUGGGGCCUAUGCGAAAGCUGGGCCUCACGGUCCAUAAUAUGGGAGGCACAGCAUGAGGUUGGCUUCACAGAGCAGCGACAACUACCCGCUUCCAACGGUGGAAGGAUAACGGGCCGCUGCACUCCUAGGCCACUUGGGCCUCGCAGCCUACUCCAGUGGACCAUCACUUUU
rnacentral:SRP_RNA from 2 species